UAAAGGGGAAGUUUAUUCAACAUUCUGACUGUUAAUAGCCUGUCCGGGAAUACUGAGUUUACAUAGAGACAAGUGCGUAAGUGUUUCACUCUAGGAUUCUAAUUGAGGAUAUCGUCUCGCUAGUCCUCAGGCACUGGUUACCCUCCUUGUAUGCAUGAUAAAGGCAAUAUAAAUAUAUCCGUGAUUUUCAAUAGCUACACAUCAAGCACUGUUAUUCAUCAAUAGAAAACAAUACCGUUUCUUAGUAGCGAGUAAGUGCACAAUAAACACAAAUUAUGAAUGUAUUUUAAUAUUUACCAGUUAUGCGAGGUUUAUAGCUAUUUGAUACUCGCUGGACCAAUAUUAGCAAGCUAACUGGUAGCUUUCUAAUACUGAAUUAUGACCAUUCUAGCCCGUACAUCUCUAAAUCAACAUAUUUUAGAUCACUUGAUAAAGCCUUUAUCGGGACAUGUACCAAAAUGUAGUUGGAAAUACCAUUGUUAUAUUUAAAUAUAUCAUUAGCCCGCUGCUACAAGAUAUUCUUACCUGCUAAAAACGUAGCCUAUUUUCUUUAUUGACACAAGACAAAGCCCAUUACUGGCACCUACUGGUUGGAGUCUGAACAAAGUGCCUGCUUUUUUACAUUUCGUGCAAUUAUUUUUAACUAUAUAUGUCAAUCUAUAUUUUGCCAGUGAGUUUCACCACAGUAAUGUAUUGUGCUUCCGUAAGAACAUUCAACAUUUCCGCUUUGAAUGUGCAAACUUUUCUUUAGUAGGCAUGGCAGUAGGCAGGCCGGGCACCAUAACGUUUUAAUUAUUGUGGUAGCUUGCCUUGCUGUGUAGCUUAAUGUUAUGAGAGUUGAGAGAGAUCCAUUCCACAUUGAACCGACAGAAAGAACUGUACUGUAAAUGGACAGUGGAGGAAGAGGACGUGGAAGGGGGAAGUCAGGUAAUCGUGAAGAGGACAAGGAUGCCCGCCUGUCCAAGUCUCUGUCCUUUGCUCUGCACUAUGGAGCCAAUCAGAUGGAACUUCACAUAAAUCCUGUUAUAAAAGCAUCUUAUUUAAUCCCACUGUUCCAUCAUUUCACAUUGCUGCACUAUACACAUGACAUGCACCCCUACAAUCUUUACUCCUCAUUUACACUGAGUGCACCAAAAAGUUUUGAUUGAUUGAGUGAUUUUGUCCGGGGAAAAAAAACAUACAUGCCACUAAGAUGACCGGGAUUGCACAGUAAAGUUGGGGAUUUAUUUCCAUUGUGGUCACUUUUUUUUUUUUUACAUAAAUACAUAAACAAUUACAUAGAGAUGAAAAAAUGCUGAAUCUCCAGAUGAGUAUGAUGUGGUUUUAAGUACAAUUCUUACCAGUUUGUUUGGCUGGUAGCUUAUUCUUUAGAUGUUUGUGGCUGCUGGUGAACCAUGAUGUGCAGGCAUAAUCAAGUGACACUGGACUGGUGCACUUGCCAGAGUUUUUAGGGUGUCUAUAGCUAGGUUUCCAUUCAGUUGGCGACAGAUUUUCAUGUGAAUAUUGUGGUAAACUGUGGGGUGUUGGGCUGAGCUGCAGAAAAAAACACACAACCCUCCCCAGUGUCCCCCCCAAAAACACAACCCUCCCCUGUGUCCCCCCCAAAAAACAUGAAACCCUGCCCUUGUGUUCCCCAAAAAAACGCACUACCCUCCCAAAAGAAAAAAGAAAAGGUUGGCAACCCUCCCGUGUUUUGGACCACCCCUCACCCCAGUCCGAUCUGUCCCUAAGCACUGUGAAAUUAUUUGUUGCCCAAAUAAGGAGGGCUUUCUGGGAAGGCUUAAUAGCGUACUCCUAGCUUUACAAGCAUGAUCAAUUAAUGAUUUCUUUAAGUGCUUUAAGUCCUGGAAUAUGCUUAAUCUGGGUCUGGGAAACUUGCCAUAGAGCCUCUCAUAGAUGGGCUUCCUUUGAUGUCUGUAUCCUCCCUUUGCUCCAGGCAUGAGGAGAGACUGUGACCUGGCCAUAUUCACUGAUGUCCCCAAAGCCUUGUCUGAUAACUUAAAGUAUCAGAGUUCUGUCAUUGUCUAAAUGCAAAAGUAUUUGUCUUUAUGUGUUUCUGUUUUUUGUGCAGAGGCUAUCCAGUUCUUCUGGCUGGAGAACGGUGUAUUGCUGACACGUGGGGAUACUGAGGGGGAAACUACUUCCCCGCCCUAAAACUAAGACCCACAUAGAGUAUUCUGCCACUGGAGUAGGUGAAGAGGCUUAUCUGCACUUUGGAGGUAAAAGACAUGGCUGAGUUUGUCAUCAGACAGCUGUCAAUUUCCAGUUCUGUCUAGAGUGUUUCCAUGGAAACGGAUAGUGUUCGGAACCAGAACCCGAAGACUGAAUGAAGACUAUGAGUCUGAAAACACCCUCAACAACAGCUCUAUUACCAUACAGGCCACAGUACAGGCACAGAGACUGACGGGUGUUCCUGAUAACACUGUCACAUGACUGGAAGACACAAAAGGAUGCUAUCUAUCAGAUGGGAAGCAGAAGGCACAAGCUGUGGUUUUGUCAACGGACAGUCUCAACUGUUCCACAGAGAUAGGAAAACACACACACACCGCAUGCCUUCCUGUGGCUUCCUGUGCAUUUAGCAACAUUUCCGGAAACUGCCACCAUACUCGGGGACAUUCAACCAUCAAGCCAAAUGCCUCAUAGGGAAAUUAAAACGGUCAACUUUUUUAUGUAUGUCAAUAAACAUAUUUAAUUCUGGA